rnacentral:rRNA from 1 species
CCUACGGGAGGCAGCAGUGAGGAAUAUUGGUCAAUGGCCGGAAGGCUGAACCAGCCAAGCCGCGUGAAGGACGAAGGUGCCAAGCAUUGUAAACUUCUUUUGUCAAGGGACAAAAUCAGGCUCGAGAGCCUGACCGAGGGUACUUGAAGAAAAAGCAUCGGCUAACUCCGUGCCAGCAGCCGCGGUAAUACGGGCGAUGCGAGCGUUAUCCGGAUUUAUUGGGUUUAAAGGGUGCGUAGGCGGACUGUUAAGUCAGCGGUAAAAUCCCGGGGCUCAACCCCGGCGAGCCGUUGAAACUGGCUGUCUUGAGAUGUCGAGAGGUAUGCGGAAUGCGCAGUGUAGCGGUGAAAUGCUUAGAUAUUGCGCAGAACUCCGAUUGCGAAGGCAGCAUACCGGCGGCGAUCUGACGCUGAGGCACGAAAGCGUGGGUAUCGAACAGGAUUAGAUACCCUAGUAGUC